rnacentral:rRNA from 2 species
GGAAGUAAAAGUCGUAACAAGGUUUCCGUAGGUGAACCUGCGGAAGGAUCAUUACCUAGAGUUGUAGGCUUUGCCUGCUAUCUCUUACCCAUGUCUUUUGAGUACCUUACGUUUCCUCGGUGGGUUCGCCCACCGAUUGGACAAAUUUAAACCCUUUGCAGUUGAAAUCAGCGUCUGAAAAAACUUAAUAGUUACAACUUUCAACAACGGAUCUCUUGGUUCUGGCAUCGAUGAAGAACGCAGCGAAAUGCGAUAAGUAGUGUGAAUUGCAGAAUUCAGUGAAUCAUCGAAUCUUUGAACGCACAUUGCGCCCCUUGGUAUUCCAUGGGGCAUGCCUGUUCGAGCGUCAUUUGUACCUUCAAGCUCUGCUUGGUGUUGGGUGUUUGUCUCCUGUAGACUCGCCUUAAAACAAUUGGCAGCCGGCGUAUUGAUUUCGGAGCGCAGUACAUCUCGCGCUUUGCACUCAUAACGACGACAUCCAAAAGUACAUUUUUACACUCUUGACCUCGGAUCAGGUAGGGAUACCCGCUGAACUUAAGCAUAUCAAUAAGCGGAGGA